rnacentral:rRNA from 1 species
GAUGAACGCUGGCGGCGUGCCUAAUACAUGCAAGUCGAGCGAACGGACGAGAAGCUUGCUUCUCUGAUGUUAGCGGCGGACGGGUGAGUAACACGUGGAUAACCUACCUAUAAGACUGGGAUAACUUCGGGAAACCGGAGCUAAUACCGGAUAAUAUUUUGAACCGCAUGGUUCAAAAGUGAAAGACGGUCUUGCUGUCACUUAUAGAUGGAUCCCGGCUGCAUUAGCUAGUUGGUAAGGUAACGGCUUACCAAGGCAACGAUGCAUAGCCGACCUGAGAGGGGAUCGGCCCAAAUGGGAACUGAGACACGCCCAAGACCCCUAGGGGAGGCAGCAGUGGGGAAUCUUGCGCAAAGGGCGAAAGCCUGACGGAGCAACCCCGCGUGAGUGAUGAAGGUCUUCGGAUCGUAAAACUCUGUUAUUAGGGAAGAACAUAUGUGUAAGUAACUGUGCACAUCUUGACGGUACCUAAUCAGAAAGCCACGGCUAACUACGUG